UAACACGUGGGGAACCUGCCCCAUAGUCCGGGAUACCACUUGGAAACAGGUGCUAAUACCGGAUAAGAAAGCAGAUCGCAUGAUAAGCUUUUAAAAGGCGGCGUAAGCUGUCGCUAUGGGAUGGCCCCGCGGUGCAUUAGCUAGUUGGUAAGGUAAAGGCUUACCAAGGCGAUGAUGCAUAGCCGAGUUGAGAGACUGAUCGGCCACAUUGGGACUGAGACACGGCCCAAACUCCUACGGGAGGCAGCAGCU
rnacentral:rRNA from 1 species